UCACCUGCACGUCGCAUGUGAUCCUUAAGGUCUUGCCAUGAAGCAGAUGAGGGCAACCCAGUGAUCAAAACACGAUACUCAGAGCGCCUGGACACUCCUCUUCCACGACCACCACUGUAACUACUGUGGCGAUCUGAGGAAGAAUGUCCACGCCCACCAUGUGCAAGCUCCACCCGUAAGCGAUGCCCAUCUAAAUCAUAGCCAUCACGACCGCGAAUUGCAUCUUCCGCAUCUCGAGCCUCUUCAAACUCAACAAAUGCAUAACCCGGGGGCCUUGGUGGGAUCUUGAGAUCAAUGUGUGCUAUGGGACCAUACUUGUAGAACAAAUCCUCCACUUCUCUCUCCCGAAUAUCGCCAGGCAGAUUGCCAACAUAGAGAGUCCUGCUAGCGCGGCUACUCAUUUUCCCUUUCGAUGAAAUAGAGGCUCGGUCAGGGGUAGAAGAAAAAUUCGAAGGUUAGGGUUUUGAGAUCGGGUGAGAGUG
rnacentral:misc_RNA from 1 species